GGGGAUGUAAAGGUUUCGACGGGGGUUUUGACCCUUGGUAAGCGAGUAGCGGUGCGGAACCGCUUUAAAAUCCGCAACUUUAAAAAUAACUGACAACAAAACAGUUGCUUUAGCAGCUUAAUGCUGCUUGUCCUGUCUGAGAGCACCACGACUCAGAUAAGGGCAUCGAUUAGUGGUAAAUGUGAAUCAAAGAGUGCCUUGGCUUUGGUCACACAUUAAAGGCUAUCAGACUAUAUAGCUUGUUAUUGGGCGCUAUAGCCUGAGAAAUCAAAGCAAUAACUACACUCGUAGAAAGCCUUGACGAUUAACCUUCGGACAGGAGUUCAAUUCUCCUCAUCUCCACCA
rnacentral:tmRNA from 1 species